rfam:Salmo salar isolate Sally breed double haploid chromosome ssa15, whole genome shotgun sequence.
UCCCAUGUGGCUCAGUUGGUAGAGCAUGGUGUUUGCAAUGCCAGGGUUGUGGGUUCAAUUCCCACGGGGGAC